rnacentral:rRNA from 2 species
GCCAUGCAUGUCUCAGUGCAGCCGUACGCGUUCGCGCGUCUAGGUGAAACCGCGAAAGGCUCAUUAAAUCAGUUAUGGUUCCUUGGAUCGUACCAAUCAGUUACUUGGAUAACUGUGGUAAUUCUAGAGCUAAUACAUGCCGACAGAGUUCCGACCGCCUCGUGCGGGAGGAACGCUUUUAUUAGAUCAAAACCCAUCGAUACGCGGCUCCGGCCCGUAUCGACAACACUCGGUCCGUUCGCGGGCCGACCAAGUGGUGAUUCUGAAUAACUUUGUGCUGAUCGCACGGUCUCAGUGCUGGCGAUGCAUCUUUCAAAUGUCUGCCUUAUCAACUGUCGAUGGUAGGUUAUGCGCCUACCAUGGUGGUAACGGGUGACGGGGGAUUAGGGUUCGAUCCCGGAGAGGGAGCCUGAGAAACGGCUACCACAUCCAAGGAAGGCAGCAGGCACGCAAAUUACCCACUCCCAGCUCAGGGGAGGUAGUGACGAAAUAUAACGAUACGGGACUCAUCCGAGGCCUCGUAAUCGGAAUGAGUACACUUUAAAACGUUUAACAAGGAUCCAUUGGAGGGCA